ACGUAGGGCGCAAGCGUUGUCCGGAAUUAUUGGGCGUAAAGAGCUCGUAGGCGGCUUGUCACGUCGGAUGUGAAAGCCCGGGGCUUAACCCCGGGUCUGCAUUCGAUACGGGCAGGCUAGAGUUCGGUAGGGGAGAUCGGAAUUCCUGGUGUAGCGGUGAAAUGCGCAGAUAUCAGGAGGAACACCGGUGGCGAAGGCGGAUCUCUGGGCCGAUACUGACGCUGAGGAGCGAAAGCGUGGGGAGCGAACAGG
rnacentral:rRNA from 1 species